CUCCCAACAAGGAAGAAAAUGGUGAGGAAGUGAAGUUUCACCUCCCCACUUGGACCGAGUAGCUUGAGCCCAUGAGAAUAAGAAUAUCAAUACCUCAACCUCCUAGGGAAUUUCAGAGGGAUAUCGAGCCUCUCUCAAAAACCAGAUGUAGUAAGAGAGCGCUAUGGGUCUCCUGAGCUGGAGCCUCCUGCACACCUGAGAAUCAUCAGCCC